CUGUUUCAAAAUAUCCUUUCUCUCGUCACACUCACUCUUCUCUUCCCGCCAAUACGCCAUGGCUAUACCUCUCCUCCUCCUCCUUCUUCUUCACCUCUCCGUCUCCUCCGCUCUAAACGACACAAACUCCCUCACACUCUUCCGCAUCGAGACCGACACACACGGAAACCUCGCCGCAAACUGGACCGGCUCCGACGCUUGUUCCUCCUCCUGGCGCGGCGUUUACUGCUCACCCUACUCUCGCCGCGUCACUGGACUCUCUCUCCCUUCCCUCUCCUUAAGAGGACCACUAACCUCUCUCUCCUCCUUAGACCAGCUCCGCCUCCUCGACCUCCACGACAACAGACUAAACGGCACCGUUUCGCCCCUCACGAACUGUACCAACCUCAGACUCGUGUACCUCGCAGGUAACGAUAUCUCCGGUGAGAUCCCGAAAGAGAUCUCUUCCCUCAAGAGAAUGAUCCGUCUUGAUCUCUCGGACAACAACAUACGAGGAGUCAUCCCCAGAGAGAUUCUCGGGUUGACCUGGAUACUAACGAUCAGGCUCCAGGACAACGAGUUAACGGGUCGGAUCCCGGAUUUUUCUCAGGUGGGUUCGCUUCUUGAACUUAACGUCUCUUACAACGAGCUGCACGGGAAAGUCACCGACGGUGUAGUGAAGAAGUUCGGAGACUUGAGCUUCUCCGGUAACGAAGGUUUAUGCGGGUCGGAUCCUUUACCGGAUUGUACUUACACGAACGACCCGGAAUCUUCCGACACCGACAAGAUCGUUCCGUCGAAUCCAACGUCGCUUCCGCAUUCUCCGGUCAUCGCCGGAGAUCCGAAGAUCCAUCACCACCGAGGGCUAAGCUCCGGAGCCAUCGCCGCCGUCAUCGGCGGCGGUGUAGCGGUUAUCGUCUUAGCCUCCUUCGGGUUUGCCUUCUGCUGCGGGAGGUCAGACCGUGGCGGCGGGUCGAAAUCCGCGAGCUUGGAGAGUGGCUUCGCCGGCGGAGGAGGAGAAGGCAAGAGGCGGAGCAGCUACGGAGGAGGAGGCGAAGAGAGCGACGCGACGUCGGCCACCGACAGGAGCCGGCUGGUGUUUUUCGAGAGGAGGAAGCAGUUCGAGCUCGAGGAUCUGUUGAAAGCGUCGGCGGAGAUGCUCGGGAAAGGAAGCUUAGGGACGGUUUACAAGGCGGUGCUCGACGACGGAACGACGACGGUGGCGGUGAAGCGUCUCAAAGACGCGAACCCGUGUCCGAGGAAGGAGUUCGAGCAGUACAUGGAGAUUAUCGGGAGGCUUAAGCAUCAGAACGUGGUGAAACUCAGAGCUUAUUAUUACGCUAAAGAAGAGAAGCUUCUUGUUUAUGAGUAUCUACCCAAUGGAAGCUUACACUCACUUCUACAUGGGAAUCGAGGUCCUGGGAGGAUACCAUUGGAUUGGACGACGAGGAUUAGUCUAAUGUUAGGAGCAGCGAGAGGCUUGGCCAAGAUUCAUGACGAGUAUAGCAUCUCCAAAAUUCCUCACGGGAACAUCAAGUCCUCCAACGUUCUCCUAGACCGAAACGGCGUCGCAUUGAUCGCAGAUUUCGGUUUAUCCCUCCUUCUAAACCCGGUGCACGCUAUAGCUCGUCUAGGCGGCUACCGUGCCCCGGAGCAGUCCGAGAUCAAACGUCUUUCUCAGAAAGCUGACGUGUAUAGCUUUGGUGUCCUUCUCCUCGAGGUUUUAACUGGAAAAGCUCCCUCGGUGUACCCGUCUCCUUCUAGGCCUAGAUCAGCGGCUUCGGUGGCGGUGGAGGAAGAGGAGGAAGCGGUUGUUGACUUGCCGAAAUGGGUGAGGUCGGUGGUGAAGGAGGAAUGGACGGCGGAGGUUUUUGAUCCGGAGCUUCUGAGGUACAAGAACAUAGAGGAGGAGAUGGUGGCGAUGCUGCAUAUUGGUCUGGCAUGCGUUGUUCCGCAGCCGGAGAAACGGCCUACAAUGGCUGAGGUUGUUAAGAUGGUUGAGGAGAUUAGAGUUGAGCAAUCGCCGGUGGGAGAGGAUUUCGAUGAGUCAAGGAACUCGAUGUCUCCGUCGUUGGCCACCACCGAAGACUUAGGCCAUCUUUGAAGUGUGUCUGACGCUUUGUUAAAUAUAUCUAUUGCUGGAUUGUGUGCCACUUCGAGUUUCUUGCUUAGAUCUCCAGUCUGCAACUUUGUCGGAGUUUUUAGCCAUGUAACAUGUCAUUUCGUAACGUGUUGUUUAUUAAAGUAUUGUGUUAAUAAAACCCAUUCUGGGUUAGUGUGAGGAAAGUGCUAGUCAAUUACUCUUUCAA